rnacentral:rRNA from 1 species
GGAAUAUUGCACAAUGGGGGAAACCCUGAUGCAGCGACGCCGCGUGAGUGAAGAAGUAUCUCCGUAUGUAAAGCUCUAUCAGCAGGGAAGAAAAUGACGGUACCUGACUAAGAAGCCCCGGCUAACUACGUGCCAGCAGCCGCGGUAAUACGUAGGGGGCAAGCGUUAUCCGGAUUUACUGGGUGUAAAGGGAGCGUAGACGGCGGAGCAAGUCUGAAGUGAAAGCCCGGGGCUCAACCCCGGGACUGCUUUGGAAACUGUUCUGCUAGAGUGCUGGAGAGGUAAGUGGAAUUCCUAGUGUAGCGGUGAAAUGCGUAGAUAUUAGGAGGAACACCAGUGGUGAAGGCGGCUUACUGGACAGUAACUGACGUUGAGGCUCGAAAGCGUGGGGAGCAAACA